AACCUUCAGCCAGAGUUUGUUCCCUUUGAAGAAACUAAUAACCUUUGUGGAAUAACUGGAGGCUUUUAUCCUUGGGCGGCACCUCUUCCUUUGCAAUUGGAGGCUGUUUCUUCUCCCUUCUCCUGAUCAUAACUGCUAGUCUCAUUUUUUAAAAAAUGUAGAUCAUGAAGCCAUGUUGUCUCUACCUCCCCUUCUCCCUUUUAUCCUUUAUCUAGUAAUGCAGCAUAAUGCUUAAAAAACCGGAUAUCCGGGAUUCGCAGUCCCAGCCUGGCCGUUUAGAGCUCUGUAACUGGCAACUGAGCCUCUUCUUUCUGCCUUAGUUUCUUCAUCUGCACGGUGGAAGCAAUGCUACCGCUCACCUCAGGGGCUGGCCUGAGAAUGAAACCAGUUGUCUCUACACAAUGCUUGGCUUGUGGUCCAGUCAGUGGCAUAGUGGUUAAGGUGCUGGAUCCUACAUGUUCAACUGUGUGGUUCAAGUCCUGGACCCAGCUUGAUAAAUAUUCCAGAUAAUACUGCAAACAAAUGCCCAGACGGAUGCUGAAUAAUUUAUAAGAACAAGCUACUGAUGUGGAUUGGAGAGAAGAAAUAACAAAGAAGAAAUAAUGUUAUCGAGACUGAUGGAGUAAAAGGACAUAAGCAAAUGAGUGAGUGUUCAAGAUAGUAUUUAGAUUUUGGCUAUAAGCCAACAGGAAAUCUCUAUGGCUAUCAAUGGGCUUGGAGUCCAGAAGAGUCAAAAAUCUUAAGAGGAGCCUUUUUCUUUUCAGAAAGUCAU